AAUUGUAAAAGAACGCAAAAUAGAAAAAUAAAUAUGAAAAGGGAAAAAGGCCUAUCUACUAAUGUGCAGUUGUAGCCCAUUGCUAUAGUGCACAACCCAUCGCACCAAUCAGCCAUCUCCUUCCUCUUUGUACAGAAAGCCAUGGCGUGGAGGCCAUCCACGGUCACCACGGCUCGAUGGCCGCCACGCAUGCGAUAGUGCCACCCCUCGGCCUAUAACUGCGUCCCCCGAAAACCCUAGAUCGAGCUCUUUCAUUCCCCCUUGUUCCCCCUUCGCCCCCUUCCUCUGCUGCUCGAAUUUGAGCUCGAAAGAAACUAUGAUCACCGCUGCCACACCGUCGUUGUCACGGCCACCGACGUCUUCGACGUUCGGGAGCACAUCCAGGAGUUCCGCCGUCGCCGGAUUCGUUCGUCCGGGCGACCAGCUCAAGUCGGGACGCCCUCGAGCCAACGUCGUCUUCAUCUUCUUCGUCUGGUCGUCACAACCUCGCCGUUGUUGCGUUUGCUUCGGCGCCUCCCUGACCUCCCCGACCUCACCACCGAACUCAUUGUAGACCCCGAGGCCGCUGCUAAGGCCCUAGUGAUCGACUACGUCACCGACGACCCGUCCAUCUCGUCUGAGCAACCAGUCAAGAAAACCCCCCUUGAGCAUUUCGAUAUCGCCUAUUUCUUUCCCUCUCAUGCUUGCAUUAGAACUGCUACUGCUUUCUGUAUGAUCCUACUAUGAUGCAUAGCCUAUUUUUGUUACCUGCUUUCA